UACGCAGGUGGCAAGCGUUGCUCGGAUUUACUGGGCGUACAGGGAGCGUAGGCGGUUGGGUAAGCCCUCCGUGAAAUCUCCAGGCUUAACCUGGAAAGUGCAGAGGGGACUGCUCGGCUAGAGGAUGGGAGAGGAGCGCGGAAUUCCCGGUGUAGCGGUGAAAUGCGUAGAGAUCGGGAGGAAGGCCGGUGGCGAAGGCGGCGCUCUGGAACACUUCUGACGCUGAGGCUCGAAAGCGUGGGGAGCAAACAGG
rnacentral:rRNA from 1 species